UACGUAGGGGGCAAGCGUUGUCCGGAAUCAUUGGGCGUAAAGAGCGUGUAGGCGGCCAGAUAAGUCCGCUGUGAAAUCUCGAGGCUCAACUUCGAGCUGUCGGUGGAAACUGUCUGACUAGAGUCCGGAAGAGGAGAAUGGAAUUCCUGGUGUAGCGGUGAAAUGCGCAGAUAUCAGGAAGAACACCCGUGGCGAAGGCGGUUCUCUGGGACGGUACUGACGCUGAGACGCGAAAGCGUGGGGAGCGAACAGG
rnacentral:rRNA from 1 species